rnacentral:rRNA from 1 species
UACGUAGGCAGCGAGCGUUGUUCGGAAUCACUGGGCGUAAAGGGUGCGUAGGCGGGUCUUUAAGUCAGGGGUGAAAUCCUGGAGCUCAACUCCAGAACUGCCUUUGAUACUGAAGAUCUUGAGUUCGGGAGAGGUGAGUGGAACUGCGAGUGUAGAGGUGAAAUUCGUAGAUAUUCGCAAGAACACCAGUGGCGAAGGCGGCUCACUGGCCCGAUACUGACGCUGAGGCACGAAAGCGUGGGGAGCAAACAGG